rnacentral:rRNA from 1 species
UACAGAGGGGGCAAGCGUUGUUCGGAAUUACUGGGCGUAAAGCGUGCGCAGGCGGCUUUGCAAGUCAGAUGUGAAAUCCCCGGGCUUAACCUGGGAACUGCAUUUGUGACUGCAUGGCUAGAGUGCGGCAGAGGGGGAUGGAAUUCCGCGUGUAGCAGUGAAAUGCGUAGAUAUGCGGAGGAACACCGAUGGCGAAGGCAAUCCCCUGGGCCUGCACUGACGCUCAUGCACGAAAGCGUGGGGAGCAAACAGG